rnacentral:rRNA from 1 species
GGGACCCGCACAAGCGGUGGAUGAUGUGGAUUAAUUCGAUGCAACGCGAAGAACCUUACUACCCUUGACAUGUCCGGAACUUGCCAGAGAUGGCUUGGUGCCCGAAAGGGAAUCGGAACACAGGUGCUGCAUGGCUGUCGUCAGCUCGUGUCGUGAGAUGUUGGGUUAAGUCCCGCAACGAGCGCAACCCUUAUCAUUAGUUGCUACGCAAGGGCACUCUAAUGAGACUGCCGGUGACAAACCGGAGGAAGGUGGGGAUGACGUCAAGUCCUCAUGGCCCUUAUGGGUAGGGCUUCACACGUCAUACAAUGGUCGGUACAGAGGGUUGCCAAGCCGCGAGGUGGAGCCAAUCCCUUAAAGCCGAUCGUAGUCCGGAUUGCACUCUGCAACUCGAGUGCAUGAAGUCGGAAUCGCUAGUAAUCGCGGAUCAGCAUGCCACGGUGAAUACGUUCCCGGGCCUU